rnacentral:rRNA from 1 species
CGUCAAGUCAGCAUGGCCCUUACCCCUGGGCCUACACACAUGCUACAAUGGCCGGUAACAGAGGGCAGCAAGACCGCGAGGUGGAGCUAAUCCCAAAAAUCCGGUCCCAGUUCGGAUCGCAGUCUGCAACUCGACUCCGUGAAGUCGGAAUCGCUAGUAACCGCAGAUCAGCUAUGCUGCGGUGAAUACGUUCCCGGGCCUUGUACACACCGCCCGUCAAGUGACCUGAGUCGGUUGCACCCGAAGUCGAUGGCCCAACCCGCAAGGGAGGGAGUCGCCGAAGGUGUGGCCGGUAAGGGGCGCUAAGUCGUAACAAGGUA